UUUCCAGAGAACAGUAAGUCGCUCUGGAUAAGAGCGUCUGCUAAAUGUCUAAAA
rfam:Salmo salar isolate Sally breed double haploid chromosome ssa13, whole genome shotgun sequence.